UACGGUAGGGGGCAAGCGUUGUCCGGAAUCAUUGGGCGUAAAGAGCGUGUAGGCGGCCCGGUAAGUCCGCCGUGAAAGUCCAGGGCUCAACCCUGGAAUGCCGGUGGAUACUGUCGGGCUAGAGUCCGGAAGGGGCGAGUGGAAUUCCUGGUGUAGCGGUGAAAUGCGCAGAUAUCGGGAAGAACACCCGUGGCGAAGGCGGCUCUCUAGUACGGUACUGACGCUGAGACGCGAAAGCGUGGGGAGCGAACAGG
rnacentral:rRNA from 1 species